UACAGAGGGUGCAAGCGUUAAUCGGAAUUACUGGGCGUAAAGCGUGCGUAGACGGUUGCGUAAGUCAGAUGUGAAAGCCCCCCGGCUCAACUGGGGAGGGUCACGCGAUACUGAUCGACUCGAAGGCAGGAGAGGGUAGUGGAAUUCCCGGUGUAGUGGUGAAAUGCGUAGAUAUCGGGAGGAACACCAGUGGCGAAGGCGACUACCUGGCCUGUUCUUGACGCUGAGGCGCGAAAGCUAGGGGAGCAAACGGG
rnacentral:rRNA from 1 species